rnacentral:rRNA from 1 species
GACGAACCGUGCAAACGUUGUUCGGAAUCACUGGGCUUAAAGGGCGCGUAGGCGGGUCAGCAAGUCCGGGGUGAAAUCUUUCGGCUUAACCGGAAAAGUGCCUUGGAGACUGCUGGUCUUGAGGGAGGUAGGGGCCUGCGGAACUUCUGGUGGAGCGGUGAAAUGCGUUGAUAUCAGAAGGAACGCCGGUGGCGAAAGCGGCGGGCUGGACCUCUUCUGACGCUGAGGCGCGAAAGCUAGGGGAGCAAACGGG